rnacentral:sRNA from 2 species
AAACCUUUUAAAAGAAGUCCAGUGAGGCUGACAAGGGUUCUAAACGGAGCAGAACGUGCGAAAGCACCCCUGCUUCUUUUGGAGAACCCUAAGCUGCCGAGGCUUAGGGUUUUUUUGAA